GAGGGCUUUAUCACUGAGCUACAUCUCUCGCCCCUGAUGGCAAUGGAGCCAAACAAAUAUACAGUAGCUUGCCUCAACUCAUUAAAUCACCCGAACGAUCCUGGCGAUUUUGCUACUGGAUAGAAUACGUAGCAGAGCUUGAGAAACAUGUCCCUGAGGGUCUUGUUGAGUGGAACAGUGUGCAACAUCUCUGCAGGCAGUAGUUGGAUGGGAACAGCUGCAGUAUAUUCACAUGCAUGAAUGCUGAAUGCCUUGUGAAAGAUGUUUGCCCGACAUUCAUGCAUCAGCACCACGUUCCAUACUGUCGGGAGCAUAUGAUGAAGACACUGCUAGCUGCCAGGAACACAGACAACUGCGACUCAAAACUGUUUCUGUGCCCACAACCAAAAUGCUUGGAAUGGAAGGGUUGUGAUGGAUGUUUGAUGUGGGAGCAUUCUGUUUGCAUGAUAACAACAGACAAGCACCCGUACUGUGGACUUUGUUUGCCAUUGCACUACAAAAACUAUAUAUUUCCCAUUCUUGAAUUUGACAUUUUCUGCAGUCAUAUUAAGUUUUAAUUUGCAUGUAUACAUAGAUGCCAACCAUUACGAAUUUGGCGGAAUCAUUACAAAUUUAAAGCAUAGAUUACGCUAUUACGAUUGUUUAGUUCGAAAUUCCGAUUUUUAGAAAGAAAAUUGUAAUUUCGGGUAUUUGGUAUCGAAUCGUAUUUUGGAAGGAACAAAUGUUAACACCAGAGACAUGGAACUUUUCCCCUCUUCACUGUGAACAAUCAUAGAUUGGUUUCCUGCCUUAGAAUAAACCAGUCUAGCAAUCGGUCUUCUGAACAGCCCCGAUGUUUGACGAUUGGUUAUGGCCUUGAACUUGACUUUACCAAAAUGUCGAAAAACGCACUCCUGAGCCAUCACUGAUUACAUUUCUAUUUUGGGGGUGGGUGGGUGGGAUUCCGAUUUUUCAAGGCCUGGAUUCUGAUGACAUUCCAACUAGGGUUGGCAUCUAUGUGCAUACACAAUUACUUUUUUGAAAGAAAUGUACAAAAUUAUUUAUUUGAUAGAUAUAUUUAUCAUAUAAUAGCUAGCAUGUCCAGUAUAAUCAAAGUAUGUGAUAUUUUUCAGAUCACAUACAUGUUCUUUCAGAAUUUGAUAACUUUACAAAUUAGAUGUAAAUUAAUUGAGAUCACGCAAACGUUCUACGGUGACACUGCAUGCAUAAUUGUGACACUCCAUAAUUGAUGUGUGCAUUCAUAGUCGUUAAACAAAACCAUUUCAAUAGUAACUUCACACUGAAAGCUGUCCAGUAUUCAGAAAACAAAACCAUUUCAAUAGUAACUUCACACUGAAAGCUGUCCAGCAUUCACAAAACAAAAAAACGUUAAGCACUACUAGUGCUACUAGUUUUUUUUAUGUAAGGACAUCCAAAAUAACAUCAUUCAAUUUUGACGUCAUUUCCAUUCAGACAGACAGAAUCAAAUUCUAACAUCAUUUGAAUAUUGAGUAAUGUCUGAUUGGAAUUAAAGUUGCGUAUACAGUUUACAAAACCAUGUUGAAUUAAGCUUGAGAUUAUUACCCUCGUGUGAUAUAGCACAUACCACUGCAUUUGAUGUACCAGUCGUGGUGCACUGGCUGGGGCAAAAAAUAGACCAAUGGGUCCACGUUUUUAUUGUUGAAUUAUGACCUUGUUUAUAUUCAGAUGUGUUAAUUUCACAAUUUCAUUUUUAUACACCCAUCUAUGAUGAGUCGUAUUAUGGUAUGGUGUCAGUGUCACGGACAUCACCUUGUUUAUAUUCAGAUGUGUUAAUUUCACAAUUUCAUUUUUAUACACCCAUCUAUGAUGAGUCGUAUUAUGGUAUGGUGUCAGUGUCACGGACAUCACCUUGUUUAUAUUCAGAUGUGUUAGUUUCACAAUUUCAUUUUUAUACGCCCAUCUAUGAUGAGUCGUAUUAUGGUAUGGUGUCAGUGUCACGGACAUCACCUUGUUUAUAUUCAGAUGUGUUAAUUUCACAAUUUCAUUUUUAUACGCCCAUCUAUGAUGAGUCGUAUUAUGGUAUGGUGUCAGUGUCACGGACAUCACCUUGUUUAUAUUCAGAUGUGUUAAUUUCACAAUUUCAUUUUUAUACACCCAUCUAUGAUAAG